AAAAGACAGGUGUUUUUAAGAGACGAGAAGUGUCCUCCAAGAGACAAAAUAGGUUGCCAAGUCAUAUAUUUCCAAGAGAGGAGAAGGUUUCAGAUGGUUUUUAGCGGCAGACAAAUGGAUUUCAAACGACAGGUGUUUUUAAGAGACGAGUGGUGUCCUCCAAGAGACAAAAUAGGUUGCCAAGUCAUAUAUUUCCAAGAGAGGAGAAGGUUUCAGAUGGUUUUUAGCGGCAGACAAAUGGAUUUCAAACGACAGGUGUUUUUAAGAGACGAGUAGUGUACUCCAAGAGACAAAAUAGGUUGCCAAGUCAUAUAUUUCCAAGAGAGGAGAAGGUUUCAGAUGGUUUUUAGCGGCAGACAAAUGGAUUUCAAACGACAGGUGUUUUUAAGAGACGAGUAGUGUCCUCCAAGAGACAAAAUAGGUUGCCAAGUCAUAUAUUUCCAAGAGAGGAGGAGGUUUCAGAUGGUUUUUAGCGGCAGACAAAUGGAUUUCAAACGACAGGUGUUUUUAAGAGACGAGUAGUGUCCUCCAAGAGACAAAAUAGGUUGCCAAGUCAUAUAUUUCCAGAGAGGAGAAGGUUUCAUGGUUUUUAGCGGCAGACAAAUGGAUUUCAAAAGACAGGUGUUUUUAAGAGACGAGUAGUGUCCUCCAAGAGACAAAAUAGGUUGCCAAGUCAUAUAUUUCCAAGAGAGGACCCGGUUUCAGAUGGUUUUUAGCGGCAGACAAAUGGAUUUCAAAAGACAGGUGUUUUUAAGAGACGAGUAGUGUCCUCCAAGAGACAAAAUAGGUUGCCAAGUCAUAUAUUUCCAAGAGAGGAGCCGGUUUCAGAUGGUUUUUAGCGGCAGACAAAUGGAUUUCAAAAGACAGGUGUUUUUAAGAGACGAGUAGUGUCCUCCAAGAGACAAAAUAGGUUGCCAAGUCAUAUAUUUCCAAGAGAGGAGAAGGUUUCAGAUGGUUUUUAGCGCAGACAAAUGGAUUUCAAACGACAGGUGUUUUUAAGAGACGAGUAGUGUACUCCAAGAGACAAAAUAGGUUGCCAAGUCAUAUAUUUCCAAGAGAGGAGCCGGUUUCAGAUGGUUUUUAGCGGCAGACAAAUGGAUUUCAAACGACAGGUGUUUUUAAGAGACGAGUGGUGUCCUCCAAGAGACAAAAUAGGUUGCCAAGUCAUAUAUUUCCAAGAGAGGACCCGGUUUCAGAUGGUUUUUAGCGGCAGACAAAUGGAUUUCAAAAGACAGGUGUUUUUAAGAGACGAGUAGUGUCCUCCAAGAGACAAAAUAGGUUGCCAAGUCAUAUAUUUCCAAGA